rnacentral:rRNA from 1 species
UACGUAGGGUGCGAGCGUUGUCCGGAAUUAUUGGGCGUAAAGAGCUCGUAGGCGGUUUGUCACGUCUGCUGUGAAAUCCCGAGCUCAACCUCGGGCCUGCAGUGGGUACGGGCAGACUGGAGUGCGGUAGGGGAGAAUGGAAUUCCUGGUGUAGCGGUGGAAUGCGCAGAUAGUCAGGAGGAACACCGAUGGCGAAGGCAGUUCUCUGGGCCGUAACUGACGCUGAGGAGCGAAAGCGUGGGGAGCGAACAGG